rnacentral:lncRNA from 1 species
CUAAGAAAUGCUUUGUAUCUAGAGAUGUUGUCUUCCAUGAAACCUCUUUUCCUUUUAAAACAACACCUCCAACUUCUUCACCUCCUCCACCUAUUUCCUUCUCUGAUGACAUUCUUGAACAGACUUUUCCAUUACCUCCUUCCAGUGAUUCUUCUUCUUUCACUCCUGAUAUUCUUUCUCCUGACUUACCUCUUUCUCAGCCUGUUACCAUACCCAGAAAAUCCACUAGACACCACAA